CUCACACACACACACCCUCGCUUGACUUUGCCCUGGGAGUUUACACUUCUGUUGAACGCCGAUACCGAGGUGAAACAAGCAAGCUGCUGACAGAAUGUUCUCUCCACACGUGACGGCCUAUAAGAACCAGCACUACGAGGAGCUGCGGCGGCAGAGCCAGGAGAGGGCCCAGCUGUUUGAAGACCCAGAGUUCCCUUGUGUCGACUCCUCACUCUUCUUCAGCAAGCCUCCUCCAGGCAGGGUGGAAUGGAAG
ensembl:lncRNA